GUAUCAUGGCUCAGAUUGAACGCUGGCGGCAGGCCUAACACAUGCAAGUCGAACGGUAACAGGAAGCAGCUUGCUGCUUCGCUGACGAGUGGCGGACGGGUGAGUAAUGUCUGGGAAACUGCCUGAUGGAGGGGGAUAACGUACUGGAAACGGUAGCUAAUACCGCAUAACGUCGCAAGACCAAAGAGGGGGACCUUCGGGCCUCUUGCCAUCGGAUGUGCCAGAUGGGACUUAG
rnacentral:rRNA from 1 species